AGUCUUGAUUGCCAAUUCAACAGAACUUUGCCUAGUAGCGAUAUGUGUAAGUCUUGAUUACCAAUACAACAGAACUUUGCCUGUAAGCAAUAUGUGAAAGUUUUGAUCGCCAAUUUAACAGAACUUUGCCUAGUAGCGAUAUGUGUAAGUCUUGAUUACCAAUACAACAGAACUUUGCCUGUAAGCAAUAUGUGAAAGUUUUGAUUGCCAAUUUAACAGAACUUUGCCUAGUAGCGAUAUGUGUAAGUUUUGAUUGCCAAUUCAACAGAACUUUACCUAGUAGACAUAUGAAGAAGUUUUGAUUGCCAAUUCAACAGAACUUUGCCUAGUAGCGAUAUGUGUAAGUCUUCAUUGCCAAUUCAACAGAACUUUGCCUAGUAGCGAUAUGUGUAAGUCUUGAUUGCCAAUUCAACAGAACUUUGCUUUGAAGCGAUAUGUAAAAGUUUUGAUUGCGAAUUCAACAGAACUUUGCCUAGUAGCGAUAUGUGAAAGUUUUGAUUGCCAAUUCAACAGAACUUUGCUUAGAAGCGAUAUGUGAAAGUCUUGAUUGUCAAUUCAACAGAACUUUGCCUGGUAGCAAUAUGUGAAAGUCUUGAUUGCCAAUUCAACAGAACUUUGCCUAGUAGCGAUAUGUGAAAGUCUUUAUUGCCAAUUCAACAGAACUUGGCCUAGUAGCAAUAUGUGAAAGUUUUGAUUGCCAAUUCAACAGAACUUUGCCUAGUAGCGAUAUGUGAAAGUCUUGAUUGUCAAUUCAACAGAACUUUGCUUAGAAGCGAUAUGUGAAAGUUUUGAUUGCCAAAUCAACAGAACUUUGCCUAGUCGCGAUAUGUAAAAGUCUUUAUUGAGAAUUCAACAGAACUUGGCCUUGGAGCAACAUGUGAAAGUCUUCAUUGCCAAUUCAGCAAAACUUGGCCUGGAUACUUGAAAGCCUUUAUUGCCAAUCCAACAGAACUUUGCCUGAGAGUGAUAUGUGAAAGUCUUCAUUGCCAAUUCAACGGAACUUGGCCUGGAUGCAAUUUGUGAAAGUCUUCAUUGCCAAUUUAACAGUACUUUGCUUGUUAGCAAUAUGUGAAAGUCUUGGUUGCGAUAUCAAUAAGCUACGCUGAACUCCUUGGUUGCCAUGAUUACUCACCUGUCCCCUUUCCAGCUGGGGUGUGGGGCUCUGUGCUGGGCCAACUGUUGGACCCUCUGUGUGGCAACUGGAAACAUACACUCACAAAAUGCACAAUAUGUUCGGUCGCUUUUACUUACCGGUCCUCUAGAAAUCCAGGCGGGACCUGUUUCGGCCGCGACAACACAUCUAUUCUUCGGUUACUUUGUUCUGGAACAGAGGGUGGAGAUUUAACGGUAUCGCGUCAAUUAUUUAUUUAUAUAAAUGGUAAUAAACAGAGAAAGUAAAACUUACCUUCCACUGCGGCGGACAUUUUUAGAACUGCGACGCGCGCACAUAUCAACCGUAGCCAUGGACGCUUUCGAUUACUUGCCUUGAUAACCUCCCUUGAUUGCAACACGGAGGCGGGAAAUUUGAAAAUCAAAAUUGUCCUCCAAUAAAUUUAGUAGAAAUGAAAAAGAUAUGCGAAGCUUGCGGUUGAUUUCGUUUUUAUAGAUGUUCCAUUGGAGGCACAGACUUUGAAAUCUACUGGACACUGGCGUUUUAGUAGGCUAUAAGCGGACUAAGGACCUGAGGCAUGGGCCCAAACACUAUCACUACCUAUGGGCCUCCACGGUUCUUAAUUCGACACUGCCCGCAGAUGUACCAGUUUAGCAGACAUUGAAGGGUGCCCGCAGAUGUACCAGUUUAGCAGACAUUGAAGGGUGCCCGCAGAUGUACCAGUUUAGCAGACAUUGAAGGGCGUACGCAAAACCUUGAUUACCACACGUCAUUCACGUGAACUUAAAUUUAGAAAAAAAACUUUUACUUGAUAAACCUGUGAUUGACAUUAACGAUUUGUAAAUUGAAUUUUUAAGCAAUACCAUAAUUAUGCGUUGCAAGUCCCUAUAAAGUAAUGCAUAUAAUACAUCACAAAUAUCCUUCAUGUAAUGGAUUAAUUAUCAGCACUCAAAUGUUUAGGCCAAUACACCUUUCAUCGCUUGUGAAUAAACCAUGACAACAUACAACAUAAUAAAUGUGCACUAGUAAUAAUAUUAAAUCAAAGAAACAAUAACAAAAGAAUAAAAACAAUUUGUAAAGUUCACUGAAAUGGGUGCGUUAAUGAGCAAGGUAUAUACAGAAAAUAAAAAGGUAUACUAUACAUGUAGAUGUACAUAGCGGUAUACGAUUUCAUUUUUCGUA